rnacentral:pre_miRNA from 1 species
AGUUUUCUGAAUCCGUGAAGAGAUUUCGUCAGACACCAACCCAUUAAGGCUGGUUAGACUUCAAAGACAAGUGAAGAU